GUCGCCCAUGGACAUGAGCGACUCGAGGCAACCUGCCGAGACUCCCGAUCUAGUACUACUGGGAAACGUACAGCCCUGUCCAGAUGGAAGUCUUCCUGAAUUACAGGAAAACCUGAAAGGACGGUCGUUGGCAACUCAAAGUAGUGACCACCGAUGGUCUAUCUGCGGGGAAACACUAUAGAGCUGAGGGACUUCCAAUCUCUCCAGGCUCCAGCAUGGAUAAAUGAUAAGAUCAUUAAUUCUUACCUGGCCCUACUCAAGAAGGAGACAAAUGAAUCAAAUAUCCGAAUCUUCUCAAUACCAUCAUAUGCUCCUGUUCACUGGGAGAGGAGUAUGUUUGACACGUUUUCGGUUCAGAUCAGUAAGUAUCUUGCCUAUAUGUGAUCAAACUGUUCCAAUGGAGAAGUAUGACUUUAUCCUUCUACCAAUAAAUGUUCGUAGCAGCCAUUGGCUGUUGCUGGCUGCUAAUGUCAUGGAUGGCACAGUCUCCAUUCUGGACUCAUUGCCUAAUGAAAGGACUGCAUGCCUUUGGUUUAAGCGAUUCACGCAGUACAUGGAAAGCAGGGCUCAGUUCACUGGUGACCUUUCUCAUGUGCAGUGGACACGUGGCAAUCUGAAGUCAGCAAGACAGAGAGAUGGACACUCAUGUGGUGCUUUUGUC
rnacentral:misc_RNA from 1 species